rnacentral:tRNA from 1 species
GGAGACUUGCCCGAGCGGCUGAAGGGGCUCCCCUGCUAAGGGAGUAUGGGGCUUAAAACUCCAUCGAGGGUUCGAAUCCCUCAGUCUCCGCCA